rnacentral:rRNA from 1 species
AAAUUGAAGAGUUUGAUCAUGGCUCAGAUUGAACGCUGGCGGCAGGCCUAACACAUGCAAGUCGAGCGGUAGCACAGAGAGCUUGCUCUCGGGUGACGAGCGGCGGACGGGUGAGUAAUGUCUGGGAAACUGCCUGAUGGAGGGGGAUAACUACUGGAAACGGUAGCUAAUACCGCAUAACGUCGCAAGACCAAAGUGGGGGACCUUCGGGCCUCAUGCCAUCAGAUGUGCCCAGAUGGGAUUAGCUAGUAGGUGGGGUAACGGCUCACCUAGGCGACGAUCCCUAGCUGGUCUGAGAGGAUGACCAGCCACACUGGAACUGAGACACGGUCCAGACUCCUACGGGAGGCAGCAGUGGGGAAUAUUGCACAAUGGGCGCAAGCCUGAUGCAGCCAUGCCGCGUGUGUGAAGAAGGCCUUCGGGUUGUAAAGCACUUUCAGCGGGGAGGAAGGCGUAAGGUUAAUANNNNNNNNNNNGACGUUACCCGCAGAAGAAGCACCGGCUAACUCCGUGCCAGCAGCCGCGGUAAUACGGAGGGUGCAAGCGUUAAUCGGAAUUACUGGGCGUAAAGCGCACGCAGGCGGUCUGUCAAGUCGGAUGUGAAAUCCCCGGGCUCAACCUGGGAACUGCAUUCGAAACUGGCAGGCUAGAGUCUUGUAGAGGGGGGUAGAAUUCCAGGUGUAGCGGUGAAAUGCGUAGAGAUCUGGAGGAAUACCGGUGGCGAAGGCGGCCCCCUGGACAAAGACUGACGCUCAGGUGCGAAAGCGUGGGGAGCAAACAGGAUUAGAUACCCUGGUAGUCCACGCCGUAAACGAUGUCGAUUUGGAGGUUGUGCCCUUGAGGCGUGGCUUCCGGAGCUAACGCGUUAAAUCGACCGCCUGGGGAGUACGGCCGCAAGGUUAAAACUCAAAUGAAUUGACGGGGGCCCGCACAAGCGGUGGAGCAUGUGGUUUAAUUCGAUGCAACGCGAAGAACCUUACCUGGUCUUGACAUCCACAGAACUUUCCAGAGAUGGAUUGGUGCCUUCGGGAACUGUGAGACAGGUGCUGCAUGGCUGUCGUCAGCUCGUGUUGUGAAAUGUUGGGUUAAGUCCCGCAACGAGCGCAACCCUUAUCCUUUGUUGCCAGCGGUCCGGCCGGGAACUCAAAGGAGACUGCCAGUGAUAAACUGGAGGAAGGUGGGGAUGACGUCAAGUCAUCAUGGCCCUUACGACCAGGGCUACACACGUGCUACAAUGGCAUAUACAAAGAGAAGCGACCUCGCGAGAGCAAGCGGACCUCAUAAAGUAUGUCGUAGUCCGGAUUGGAGUCUGCAACUCGACUCCAUGAAGUCGGAAUCGCUAGUAAUCGUAGAUCAGAAUGCUACGGUGAAUACGUUCCCGGGCCUUGUACACACCGCCCGUCACACCAUGGGAGUGGGUUGCAAAAGAAGUAGGUAGCUUAACCUUCGGGAGGGCGCUUACCACUUUGUGAUUCAUGACUGGGGUGAAGUCGUAACAAGGUAACCGUAGGGGAACCUGCGGUUGGAUCACCUCCUUA